UACUUCUUCAGUUGAACCUAUUUAUAACUUACCUAUAACUUAGCUGUAUUUUUUUAUUUUUUUUUUUUUAUUCAUUUAUUCAUUUAUUCUUUGUUAAAAUGUGUACAUUGCAAAUUGCAAAAAAAAAAAAAAAAAACACGCACACUUGAAUGCCCUCUGUGUUAAAAUGACAAAAUGUGUGUCAAUAGUAACCGUAAUUAUAAUUAUUAUAACAAUAAUAUUUAUGGAACGCGUGAAGACAGUUAAAAUAAAAAAGAACAAAAUUUUAAGUAUUCAUGAUAUAUAUAUUACAAAAGAGAUAAAAAAUAAAAGAAUAUUUUUUUUUUUAAAAAAAAAUAUUAUAUAUCAUAAGAACAGGCAAAAAAAUAAAUAUAAAAAUUUUAAACUCUACAAAGGACGUGGAACAACUUGUUUUUACGAAUGGGUGGAGAAUGAUGACAAUUUAGAAGUAAAAAUUCGAUUAUCACCAUAUAUAAGCCCAGAAGAUAUACAGUAUAAAUUAAAAUGUGAUUAUAUUUAUGCNNNNNNNNNNNNNNNNNNNNNNNNNNNNNNNNNNNNNNNNNNNNNNNNNNNNNNNNNNNNNNNNNNNNNNNNNNNNNNNNNNNNNNNNNNNNNNNNNNNNAAAAAAAAAAAAAAAAGGAAUAGAUGAAUGGGUAGGUAUAAUAGAAAAUGAACAAAUAUUACAUAUAAGUUAUGACAACCAAUCAUCAAACAAUAAUAAUAAUGAUAAUAUAAAUGAUUGUUCAUUAUAUAAUAGUAUGAAUAAAGAAAAUGAAUUAUUAUAUACUCAAGUUUUUGAACAUGUAAAUUAUGAUGAUUUAUAUAAUUUUUUAAUUAGUUGGGUAAAUACAAAAUCGAAUAAUUCAAACGAAUUUGGUAUUCCUUUACUGAAAUUAAAAACAACUUCUAUAACUAAUGACAGCGAAAUAGAAAUAUUAUUAUCUUCUUAUGGUUUAAAAUGGGAUGCCGAAGAUAGCAUAGUGUUAAAAUUAAGCCAUACUUCAAAACAUAUUGAAUUGAAUGUUUUAAGAGGUAACAUUGCUACUGGUAUAAAAGGGACAUAUGGUAAUAUGGUGGCUUAUGUUGUAAAGGCAUGUGAAAAUGCAAUUAUAAAAAAAUUACAGCAUGAUCUGAAAGGUGUUUUUUAUUUGAACCCUCAAUCUGCGAAAGCAACAGACUUAAUGCAUACACACUAUCCACACGGUAGUUAUAAUUAUACGAUACAUUCCAACGGAGGUGAGAAAAAGGACCAUAUAUCGCUACAUGACGAUAAUUGUAUAAGUACGAGCAACCAUAACAAUGAUAACAAUGGUAAUCAGAACAAAAUUAAUUUAAACACACACAACAAUAACCAUAAAAAUAACAAUAGUAAUAACAAUAACAGUAGCAAUAACAAUAACAGUAGUAAUAACAAUAACAGUAGCAAUAACAGUACCAAUAACAAUAACAGUAGCAAUAACAAUAAUAAUAAAACAAAAGGAAAUACACUCGAAACUACAGAAAUAAAAGAGAACUCAGAUUCAGAAAAACUAAUAAUAAAAGAAUUAAAAUUAAAUUCGAAUGUUAAAUUAAGUUGUGAUGAUAAAAGUAAAGAACCUGAAUUUAUGAAAAAUUGGCCUGAAGAAAAAAAAAUAGAAUUUAGAAGAAAUUCAGUUUUAGAAUUAAAAAAGAAUUUAGAAAUGGCGCAAGAAAAUAAACUAACAUUAAAAAUGGAAGAUUAUAUAAAUUAUAUGAAAACAUGUUUUGAUUUAACUGAAAAUGAAUCAAAACUAGUUUUAAAAAAAGGUAUAAAUAAAUAUGAAGAAAAAAAAAAUCGAGAAAACUUUUAUAAGUUUAUUGAAAUUGAAAACUUGACAGAUAGAAUUAAUAUGUAUCCUAUUGGUCAGAAUGAUAUAGAUGAGUAUUCAAAUGGGUAUGUGACACAACGUGAUGGUAAUAGUUGUGCAUCUCUUACAGAUACGGACACAGAUAAAGAUACGGACACAGAUAAAGAUACGGACACAGAUAAAGAUACGGACACAGAUAAAGAUACGGACACAGAUAAAGAUACCGAUACAGAUAAAGAUACCGAUACAGAUACAAAUACAAACACAGGUGACAACGACAUGAGUGAUCAUAGUAUACAUAAUAAUAGUAUUAACAACAACAUCAAGAGUGACAAUAUUAAUAAACAAUUUUAUAAUUGUUUAGAAGAAGAGUUGCUAAACAGUUAUAAUGAGAAGGUGGAGAAUAAUUUAUUUAGAACGUAUAUGAAUAGCGACGAGAAUGAAAAAAAAGAAAUGAAAGAAAAAUGGAAAAUAAAAGAAUAUAGAUUAAAUGUAUUAAUAAAAGAGUUAAAAUACGUAGAAGAUGAUGAUAUGAUACCCACUAUAUGUAACAAUUAUAGAGACGUGCUUUUAAGUGAAGAGUAUCCAUGUUUGUUAAGGAUAAGACUACUAGAGAAUGGAAUUAAAGACGAAGAAGAAAAACAAGCUUUACAAAUUAUUAAUUCAUUUGUUAUGAGUUUAUAUGAUGAU
rnacentral:lncRNA from 1 species